rnacentral:rRNA from 13 species
GUCGUAACAAGGUCUCCGUAGGUGAACCUGCGGAGGGAUCAUUA